ACUUCUUUUCCUCGAGCCAAAGUAGGUUUGGGUUUCUUCUCCUAGCUUUCAUGCUUUUGUUGUCUGUUCUUCAUCUUUUCCAUGUUCUCUUGUUCUGAUUAUUUCGAUCUGUUCCCGUAAUCGAGUUGUGGUGUUGGUUUUGCUUUGUGGAUUGUUAUGCUUCUUCUUGCUGGUUCCGAUCUUAAUCGACUUUGUAUAGGGUUUUGCCGGUUGAUGAUAUGCUGUUUUACUGGAUUGAAGAUCUGAAGAAAUUGAUUGUGUUUCAUUGGUUUGCAGCACGAUGAGAUUUCCGUGUCCGAUUGAAAGAUUAAACGGUGGAUUUAAACGGCUAACUGCAUAAGAUAUAACUAAUUUCUACUUUGAGUUUCCUCUAUUAUUUUAAUUUCCCUGGACUUGAUCACGAAACAUACGGAUUUAAUUGUGAACCUAUUUUUCUACAGCGUAGUGUUCGGAAUAGUUUCGCGUAAUAACGUUCUGUGUAGAGCAUCAAUCCUCGUCCAUGAUUUGGUGGUGUCUACUGGGGUUUUGAAUAUUCUUGGCUUUGUCUUUUUUUUGUUUCUUUGCUUCGCUUAGUUUUCUUGAUUUAAUUCUCCGUGACUUCCGCUUGGAUCUUACAGGGAAGAUAAGCAACGGAUGUGUGGUAGGCAGGCUGUGGAAAAGCUGUGGCGGGAGAUUAUUGACAGUUCGACACACAUUCUAUGGUGAAGCCUUAGGUAUCGGAUGUGACCCAUUCCUGAGCUCAUGUCGGUGACUCCCUGUUAUUAACCUGUGGUUCUUUGUGGCGAUUUUGACCUUCAGUCCGUCGCUCCUCCGUGUGUCGUCAACUUUGCUCAUCACCGUCUGUGCUCGAAGGAAUGUCCUCCUCCGACGGGUCUGUUUCUAGCGUUAUACCUUCGAUCACCAUUUGCGUCCCUAUUUCACUCUCACUAUCGUCAGAACUUAUUUCCUCCAUCGAGCCUAUAAAGCUUUUUUCCCGACAUUUGCAUCUAUCCAGAUUGUAACAUGUUUCUUCAACUAUAUGCACAGUGUAUUCAACCCCAUUAAUCCAUGGGGAGACCUUGUGCUGAAUUAAUGGCUACCAUGGUGUCUUCACUAAUAUCCGCGCCUUGUCCAUCCUAUGGAGUUCAUCCAUUUCGUCAUCCACCUCCACCACUUCUCCUACUGCCGUCAUAAUCUGUUUAAUAUGCUCCAAAUCCCAGGCAUGCAGAGGUAUACCCCAACACAACAACUAGACUAGGCGAUAGCCAAUUCUCAGCUGAGGGGUCCAUUUUUCUAGUGAGGAUGAGCCUUGCUCAUUUGCUUCCUUAGCCAUUGGUGUAGCUCUGGUCUCUCUAAGUCCCAUUAGCAAUAUCAUGUCAUCGCCAAUAUAUUUUGGCGUGAUGUCUUCACCUCCAUUCCACAUGAAAUCGUCUUCCAUUCUAUCAAACAGCGUAAGGUUCUUCAGUCUUCUUACCCGUGUGUUUCUUAACCAUGUCUUUUCUUCCACAUUUAUGUUCAGCUGCACCGACGAGUGAGAUACAACACCAGUUAGGCUCGGGUUUUGAGAAAUCUUCUUGGUGCCGUGUUUCUUCCUUCGAUCAUCAAGAUCUUCACAUAUGAGGUUGCCUCUUUCUUCUGUUGGAAUUGUUUCAUCUUCGUAUCCACAUGGUUGCCUUCCAUCUUGUGCUUGUCUUUCCCGUUGGCUUCUUCAUGUCCCUUUUUCUGUCGUCUUCCCCGACUGACUUCUUCCAGUGUCACCCUCUCUCUUCCAUGCUUUGGUGUAUUGACAUGCAUUUUUAAUCCCCGUACUACCAGGCUAUCCGGUUUUCUCUCCAACCUUGUUACAUCUUUCACCCCCUUGAAUCUCACGAAGCCGUAUCUCUUACCCCACCUAUUAUUGUUUCUUGCAAUAAAAAACCUCUCUGACAUCCCCCCAUUUUUUAAACUCAUACCAUAUGUCUGAUUCAUUCAUCUCCUCAGGGAAUCUUGUGAAAAAGAAGGAAUGAAUAUUAGAUGCAUCCCUCCAAUUUGUUUUUCGCCUUUCCACCUGCUGGCCAUAUCCAUUUCCGGCAUGGUUCUGCCGGGAUCCUACUCUCAUCCACUCUCUAUCUCUCUCACCCCCCCCCCCCCCCCACUCUCUCCCUGUUUCUCUCUCUAUCUCUCUCUCUCUCUUCAUUCUCACCCCUUGGAACAAGUGUUCAUAAUCCUAUGAUUGCGAAACAUAAGCAAUGAAUACCUUUGUUUUCUGUAGUGUAAUGUUUGGAAUGGUUUUGUGUAAGGUCUUGUGUCACAUUGAGGCUCAUGCACGGUUUGGCGAUGCCUCUCUUGGUUUUUGAAUCCUUAUAUUUUCUUUUCAUUUUUAUAUCUUUUGAUGUUUAUCAUGAGCGUUUUUUAUAUUCUGUGUGACUUUCCCGUGGGGAUUACUGGGAAGAUAAGCAAAUGGAUAUUUGCUGGCUGUGGAAGGCAGUGGGUUGAAGAUUAUUGAUGGACUUCCUGUGAAGCCUUAGGUUUUACUACUCUCACAUUCUUUAUUUUCUUAUGUGUUUGUUCUGUGUUUUGAUGCUGUACGGUAACCUGGUAGUGUCAGUGUCAGAGUUAUUGUGUGGUUCUAACAGGAACUAUAAGAGUAUUCAACAAUUUCACCCAUUAAAAAAUAAUAGUAAGAAUUUUCAAGGCAUAGGAGAAUUUUAUGAUUUUCUAUUUCUAUUCAAUUAUAUGAAUACCAUUUAAAUGUUAUGUUGUGUUGAUCGUGGAUAUUGGCUUUUCGUUUGCAGCAUUUGCUGAUUUAUGUUCAUCCGUGCAGCAUAUUAGAAUGGCUAACAAGUCUAGAUGAAUUUGAUUUUUCUUCAAUGGGAUCUUCAGUAUUGUUAGUUUCUGAAUUUGAUCAUGAGGCAUAUGGAUUGAGUUUUAAACCUCUUGCAAUGUAUGGUUUUGUGUUGCAUUCUGCAUAGCAUCCAGUCUCCGCAUGAUUUGGUGAUGUCUACCCCAGAUCAAACUCUCAAAUUUGUCUUCAACUUUGCAAUUUUCUUGGGUCUACUAUGGGUAUUUCUCGACUUACUUCCUCUUUGAUUUCUGCUUUUGGUCUCACAGGGAAGUCAAGUAGUGGUGGAAAUGUGGUGUUGUGAAAGCAGUGGCUAUCUUAUUACAUGAUUUGGUGAUCACUACCCUGGAUUUAGAAUUCUUGGAAUUUGUCUUUUGCUUCAUAUCUCAAAUUACUUAUCCCUUUUUUGCGUUGGGUCUCACAUGGUGUGGGUUGGCUGUUGAAGUGGGCUAUCUUAUUGUUGGUUAUUAUAACCACUUGAUUUAAUCAUCUACUUGUAUUUAUUCAUUUGCCACAUGCUAGGUUCCAUAUGAGUUUUAUUUCCGCAGUGUUGCUGAUUGAAGAUUGAAUCAAUAAAUAGUUAUGCCUUUCUGGAUUCCAGAUGAGUUUUAUUUCCAUGGUGUUGCUGAUUGAAGAUUGAAUCAAUAAAAUAUUAUGCCUUUCUGGCAAUAGUGAAUUAGAUUUGGCCGCAGAUAAACCUAAAUGUCUUGUAUGACUUUGUUUAUACUUUUAAUUUUCUGGAUUUGAUCACAGGAAAUAUGGAUUGAACUGUGAACCUGUUUCUUCUGCAGCGGUGGAAGAGCACACUAUUUAGGUUCCGGUUUUAUUACCCUUGAUACAAUCAUUGUUUUAUGUUCAUUAUGGACUGACCUUUGUGGGUUUUGGACUUGUUUUUGACAGUGUGGUGUUCUGUUAGUGUUAGACUUGAUUUUUCUUUUGGGAAAUGUAAGAGGGGGAGGUUAACUGGUUCUUUUAUAGCAUGGCCUCUUAUGUUUUGGUGAUCUUUCACUAGAUUUUGAAUUGUGGGAUUUCAAAGUGGAUAGUUAUAUACUUCUCAGUGAUUUUAUGAAUAAUGAAUAUGUGGAGGCUGUGGAUGUUGUGGGGGGUUGACUUCAUUCUUGACUAAGUUAUCUACUUCUAUGGGGUUCUUGAUUGGUUGUUGUUUCUAACAACGGUAUUGGGUAAGUUGGUAAUGUCAAAUUCCUUCUCGCUGUUUCUGUCGUGCAACUUGAAGGGUAGUUCUUCAAGUGUGUGUGAGGUUUAAUCAGAAAUUUUAUAGAUGAGCAAUGAAUUUAUAUUGUGUUUGUGUGCUUGUGUCUAUGUCAUGGGUAUUGGGAGCUGUUCACAUGUUUUUGAAGAAUUUAUCUUUGUCACUUUGUCUUCUCAAUGGACUACUAGUAUAUUGGAAAGAGUAUAUUGAACAGGCUUUGUCAGGUCAAUUUUUGGUAUCUACAUCUUUGGUGGAAUGAAGAAUUAUGCUGCUCUUUUAUAUGAUCUUUAAGUAUAUGCCCUUAAAAUUGGAUGUCAUUCGUCAGUUCGGUACAUUGAGAAACAGUGAAAAUUUAGAAGCAGGUUUCCGAUUGUUGAUCUAGGUGUUGCUCCAACGACCUCAUUAUGUGGAUAAAGACAUGUAGAAGUUUGAACCAAAUGUGAAUUGACAUCUAUUUGAGUUUAUCAUAUAUUUCCUACUUGUACUAAAAUAAUAGAUAUUUCAUGAUAGAAGUUUGAACCAAAUGUGUCUUUUUAGUAAAAUUCCUCAUUAUGUGGAUAAAGACAUGUAGAACUUUGAACCAAAUGUGAAUUGACAUCUAUUUGAGUCUG